rnacentral:tRNA from 1 species
GAGAAAGAAGGUUCAUAACAGGGCUGCUAACUUUGUUACAAAGGGUUCAAUCCCUUUUUUCUUA